rnacentral:lncRNA from 1 species
ACAGUUAUUAGAAGUUUCCACUAACCAGAGCUCUUGGUUAUUUCUCUGUAGGAGACAUGGGCCAGGCAGAACCUCCUGAUGAAUGGAAGCCCCAAAACUUCCUUGUUGUCAUGUGGUAUGGGUGGGUGAUGAUGUCCUGUGGUGUGGUUUAGAGGUUUCAAUCCAUCCUGGUGGGAAGGUGACUGGUGGAGCAGAGCUGUGGACAUUGUAGCAACCAGAAAGCAGAGAAGGUGAGUGUCUGUGUGGAAGAGGGGGCUCAGUGGGUAAGGGACCUUGCCGCCAAGCCUCACAACAUGAGUUCAGUCAAGGUCGCCCAUGAUGGAAGGCCAUGAUGUAAGCCUCCCGUAGCUUCUCCCUCUGUGAAGCAGGAUGUUUCCCUCAGGGUUACACCCUGUGUUACUUGAUGCUGUGACAAAAUAACUGGGUGAAAAGAAAAAAAGGGAAACUGAGGCUCAGAACUGUCAAUCAAGUGCUUCCAGUUACAGACAGGAGUAGAAUCAGGUGUCAACUCAAGUCUGUUGUGACCAAAAGAUGGUGCUGGAGUAACUCAGGAGUCCUGGUGGUCUGAGGCUCCCAUGAAGGGUGAAACCACUCGGUUCAUUUUACUGGUAGGUCACCUUUUAAAAAUAUUUUAUUUUCUAUUUUACGUGGAUGGGUGUUCAUCCUGUG